CCUACGGGUGGCUGCAGUGGGGAAUAUUGGGCAAUGGGCGCAAGCCUGACCCAGCAACGCCGCGUGAAGGUAGAUGGCUUUCGGGUUGUAAACUUCUUUUCUCCGGGACGAAUCAUGGUCCGGUACCUGCGGACUAAGCCACGGCGAACUACGUGCACGCCUCCGCGGUAAUACGGAGGUGGCAAGCGUUAUCCGGAUUUACUGGGUGUAAGGGGCGUGUGGGUGGGAAAGUAAGUCAGGUGUGAAGACCAUGGGCUCAAGCGGUGGCCUGCAAUUGAUACUGUUUUUCUGGAGUGCGGAAGAGGCAGGCGGAAUGUGUGGUGUAGCGGUGAAAUGCGUAGAUAUUAGAAGGAACACCAGUGGCGAAGGC
rnacentral:rRNA from 1 species